CUAUUUGGACGCCCCAACCACAGAUGGGUUUGAUGAAUACCUGCAGUUUUCAAAGCUCAGAAGGCUGUUCAUUAAACACAACACUGCCCUGCCCUCAAGCGCUCCAGUAGAGAGGCUCUUCAGCAUCGGUGGUCUAAUAUUCAGACCCAGGAGAAACCGGCUGGGAGAUGCCAACUUUGAGAAGCAGCUCAUCCUGAAUGCCAACAAAAAGUUUUGACGGAAGCUAAAAAACAGCAGAUCCACCAGGGAGAGAACACUGUGACCAAUGACAGAGGAUCUUCAUUCAGAUAAGGGAUUGGCCCUGCACACUGACUUUUUUUCAUUCAUUAUUAUUAUUAUUACUUUGGUUAUUUCUGGAG
rnacentral:lncRNA from 1 species